rnacentral:rRNA from 1 species
CGUAGUUGAUCGAUGGCUCAGGACAACGCUGGCGGCGUGCUUAACACAUGCAAGUCGAGCGAUGAAGCUUCUUCGGAAGUGGGAUUAGGCGGCGGACGGGUGAGUAACACGUGGGUAACCUGCCUCAUAGAGGGGAAUAGCCUUCCGAAAGGAAGAUUAAUACCGCAUAAGAUUGUAAUGCCGCAUGGCAUAGCAAUUAAAGGAGCAAUCCGCUAUGAGAUGGACCCGCGUCGCAUUAGCUAGUUGGUGAGGUAACGGCUCACCAAGGCGACGAUGCGUAGCCGACCUGAGAGGGUGAUCGGCCACAUUGGGACUGAGACACGGCCCAGACUCCUACGGGAGGCAGCAGUGGGGAAUAUUGCACAAUGGGGGAAACCCUGAUGCAGCAACGCCGCGUGAGUGAUGACGGUCUUCGGAUUGUAAAGCUCUGUCUUUAGGGACGAUAAUGACGGUACCUAAGGAGGAAGCCACGGCUAACUACGUG